rnacentral:tRNA from 2 species
AGAUAAAUAGUUUAAUAGAAUGCGCGCUUUGGGAGCGUGAGGUCUACUAUUAAGGUAGUUUGUCUG